GUCAGUUCAUGGUCAGCCACGGCCGCGCGCGCGUGUGACGGAGGGGGAACUGCUCUGCGGGCGCUGAGUUGCCGCGCCGCGACACCCGGAGCGCUGCCUUCGCACGGCACGGAAACCAGCAAGCACUGGAGAUGGAGUCCUGGCUGCUGGACGUGAAGCGGGUGCGCAUUCCCCGGCCCAAGUUCUCGUCGACGCGGUCCCCGGCGGAGCCGCCCAAGGACUACCUGGACGUGUCGUCCCGAGACGCCAUCAAGCCUCGGGGGUUCGCGUCCCGGGACCUGGACAAGGCGACGGAGGAGCUUCGGCGGGCGGUCCAGGAGAAGCUGUAGCCCAGCCUCUGCUCGGGGCGUGACCGCCGACCAAGAUCCCGGCAGAGACCUUCAUCUGCCUCCCGUCUCUGCUCGGGGCGUGAUCGCCGACCAAGAUCCCGGCAGAGACCUGCUGGCAUUCAUCUGCCUCCCGCCUCUGCUUGGGGCGUGAUCGCCGACCAAGAUCCCGGCAGAGAAAUGCUGGGAUUCAUCUGCCUCCAGUCUCUGCUCGGGGCGUGACCGCCGACCAAGAUCCUGGCAGAGACCUUCAUCUGCCUCCCGUCUCUGCUUGGGGCGUGACCGCCGACCAAGAUCCCGGCAGAGAAAUGCUGGGAUUCAUCUGCCUCCAGUCUCUGCUCGGGGCGUGACCGCCGACCAAGAUCCUGGCAGAGACCUUCAUCUGCCUCCCGUCUCUGCUUGGGGCGUGACCGCCGACCAAGAUCCCGGCAGAUACCUGCUGGCAUUCAUCUGCCUCCCGUCUCUGCUCGGGGCGUGAUCGCCGACCAAGAUCCCGGCAGAGACCUGCUGGCAUUCAUCUGCCUCCAGUCCCUGCUCGGGGCGUGAUCGCCGACCAAGAUCCUGGCAGAGACCUGCUGGCAUUCAUCUGCCUCCAGUCCCUGCUCGGGGCGUGAUCGCCGACCAAGAUCCCGGCAGAGACCUGCUGGCAUUCAUCUGCCUCCCGCCUCUGCUUGGGGCGUGAUCGCCGACCAAGAUCCCGGCAGAGACAUGCUGGCAUUCAUCUGCCUCCCGCCUCUGCUUGGGGCGUGAUCGCCGACCAAGAUCCUGGCAGAGACAUGCUGGCAUUCAUCUGCCUCCAGUCCCUGCUCGGGGCGUGAUCGCCGACCAAGAUCCCGGCAGAGACCUGCUGGGAUUCAUCUGCCUCCCGUCUCUGCUCGGGGCGUGAUCGCCGACCAAGAUCCUGGCAGAGACCUGCUGGCAUUCAUCUGCCUCCAGUCCCUGCUCGGGGCGUGAUCGCCGACCAAGAUCCCGGCAGAGACCUUCAUAUGCCUCCCGUCUCUGCUUGGGGCGUGACCGCCGACCAAGAUCCCGGCAGAGACCUGCUGGGAUUCAUCUGCCUCCCGUCUCUGCUCGGGGCGUGAUCGCCGACCAAGAUCCCGGCAGAGACAUGCUGGGAUUCAUCUGCCUCCCGUCUCUGCUCGGGGCGUGAUCGCCGACCAAGAUCCUGGCAGAGACCUGCUGGCAUUCAUCUGCCUCCAGUCCCUGCUCGGGGCGUGAUCGCCGACCAAGAUCCCGGCAGAGACCUGCUGGCAUUCAUCUGCCUCCAGUCCCUGCUCGGGGCGUGAUCGCCGACCAAGAUCCCGGCAGAGACCUUCAUAUGCCUCCCGUCUCUGCUUGGGGCGUGACCGCCGACCAAGAUCCCGGCAGAGACAUGCUGGGAUUCAUCUGCCUCCCGUCUCUGCUUGGGGCGUGACCGCCGACCAAGAUCCCGGCAGAGACAUGCUGGGAUUCAUCUGCCUCCCGUCUCUGCUCGGGGCGUGAUCGCCGACCAAGAUCCCGGCAGAGACCUGCUGGCAUUCAUCUGCCUCCCGUCUCUGCUUGGGGCGUGAUCGCCGACCAAGAUCCCGGCAGAGACAUGCUGGGAUUCAUCUGCCUCCAGUCUCUGCUCGGGGCGUGACCGCCGACCAAGAUCCUGGCAGAGACCUUCAUCUGCCUCCCGUCUCUGCUUGGGGCGUGACCGCCGACCAAGAUCCCGGCAGAUACCUGCUGGCAUUCAUCUGCCUCCCGUCCCUGCUUGGGGCGUGAUCGCCGACCAAGAUCCCGGCAGAGACCUUCAUCUGCCUCCCGUCUCAGCUUGGGGCGUGACCGCCGACCAAGAUCCCGGCAGAGACAUGCUGGGAUUCAUCUGCCUCCCGUCUCUGCUUGGGGCGUGAUCGCCGACCAAGAUCCCGGCAGAGACCUUCAUCUGCCUCCCGUCUCUGCUUGGGGCGUGACCGCCGACCAAGAUCCCGGCAGAGAAAUGCUGGGAUUCAUCUGCCUCCAGUCUCUGCUCGGGGCGUGACCGCCGACCAAGAUCCUGGCAGAGACCUUCAUCUGCCUCCCGUCUCUGCUUGGGGCGUGACCGCCGACCAAGAUCCCGGCAGAUACCUGCUGGCAUUCAUCUGCCUCCCGUCUCUGCUCGGGGCGUGAUCGCCGACCAAGAUCCCGGCAGAGACCUGCUGGCAUUCAUCUGCCUCCAGUCCCUGCUCGGGGCGUGAUCGCCGACCAAGAUCCCGGCAGAGACCUUCAUCUGCCUCCCGUCUCUGCUUGGGGCGUGACCGCCGACCAAGAUCCCGGCAGAGACAUGCUGGGAUUCAUCUGCCUCCAGUCUCUGCUCGGGGCGUGACCGCCGACCAAGAUCCUGGCAGAGACCUUCAUCUGCCUCCCGUCUCUGCUUGGGGCGUGACCGCCGACCAAGAUCCCGGCAGAUACCUGCUGGCAUUCAUCUGCCUCCCGUCCCUGCUUGGGGCGUGAUCGCCGACCAAGAUCCCGGCAGAGACCUUCAUCUGCCUCCCGUCUCUGCUUGGGGCGUGACCGCCGACCAAGAUCCCGGCAGAGACAUGCUGGGAUUCAUCUGCCUCCCGUCUCUGCUUGGGGCGUGAUCGCCGACCAAGAUCCCGGCAGAGACCUUCAUCUGCCUCCCGUCUCUGCUUGGGGCGUGACCGCCGACCAAGAUCCCGGCAGAGACAUGCUGGGAUUCAUCUGCCUCCAGUCUCUGCUCGGGGCGUGACCGCCGACCAAGAUCCUGGCAGAGACCUUCAUCUGCCUCCCGUCUCUGCUUGGGGCGUGACCGCCGACCAAGAUCCCGGCAGAUACCUGCUGGCAUUCAUCUGCCUCCCGUCUCUGCUCGGGGCGUGAUCGCCGACCAAGAUCCCGGCAGAGACCUGCUGGCAUUCAUCUGCCUCCAGUCCCUGCUCGGGGCGUGAUCGCCGACCAAGAUCCCGGCAGAGACCUUCAUCUGCCUCCCGUCUCUGCUUGGGGCGUGACCGCCGACCAAGAUCCCGGCAGAGACAUGCUGGGAUUCAUCUGCCUCCAGUCUCUGCUCGGGGCGUGACCGCCGACCAAGAUCCCGGCAGAUACCUGCUGGCAUUCAUCUGCUUCCAGCCACGAUCUCUACGCCACGUGCAUGUUUGGGAAUAGGACUCUGCCAAGACAGCGUGUGCGAAUGGACUACCGCAGAGUACAACAACGAACCUUGUUAAGAUGCGGACGCGGUAUUUUGUUAUAUAUGCAUGCAUUGAUUUAAGAGUGCAUGAUUUAACUACUACAAAAGUAAACUUAGAUUCAAAUAAUGUGGAAUCUUCGGGUAAAAUAUACACGUGUAGACCAUCUUGUAUUCACUAAAUGCAAUUUGACCACUCUAUGUAAAGUAAAUUCUUGUGUUUUUUGUCUCUACCAAGCCAUAGUGAACGAAUGGAUUGCCACAAAGUAAACAGUGAUCCUAUAAAGUAUGGUUUGAUUGGAAUUAACAUUUAAUUAAUUUCCAAGACUGAUUAGAAAUAUUAUCACAAUAGAAAAAAAUAGCGUCACAUCACACAUCAUUCCAAAGAAACAUUUACAUAAUACAUCUUAAAUUUGAACGAUUCCUGGUGUCUUAAUAUUUUACACAGUGGGUAAUCAUCUGGUUGUUUUUAUCCUGAAAAUGAUCUAACUAUCUACGUUCCUAAGAAGUAUAAGGUAUCUUCCUUGGCAGUAAAUAAUAAUACAUUUUAGUCACAAAUUUAGUUGAAUCAUAGGUUCAUGAUAGAUGUGACCAAGCCGGCUGCAAUUCAUGUCAAUUAAACAUGCUCUCUCUUUCUCUCGAUGAUGAAGGAAUUGCGCUGGCCUAGUACUGGCUAAGCACAGAAGUAUACGGCACCUAUAAGGAACAGAUUUUGGGAUAGAGUACUUUAUAGCAGGAUAAUUCUGCAUUUAAUACCUAAAACUGAUCUCAGUUUUCCCUGAUAACAUCAUAGUUUUGUGUGAUCUGGAAGAAAAAAAAUUAUAGCUGUCAUUAACUAUAAGACGUGAAAACGCUAUACUUUAGGCAGCCUAUAAAAUAUGCCUAAAAUUUCUUGGGCGAUGAAAUAGCUAUUUUAUUUAUUUUAGGAAGGUAAAAAUGUGACCCUUUUUUUAAAAAACAAUCAUCCCCUUCUAGCAACUUUUUGUGCUUUAAUUGAUGGUAUCCAAUCAUAAAUUUACUAAAGUAAACAAGAAAUAUUAAGUGUUACUCUAUUAGUUAAAAUUUUUUUAUGUAGAUAAUUAAUCUGAUCACAUUAACCAAUAUUAUUGUAAUACUAAAGUUGAAUUUACCGUAAUUUUAGCAUGGAGGGAAUCAAACUUAACUGACUUUACCCAGUAAUGAAUUUUAUUUGCAAUAAUGAUUUAUAUAAGUAGCCCAAAUCUGUCCAGCUCUAAGACAGCCACAGCGAAACAGGUUCAUUGGUCUGUUUGUUACUUUUCGUUGACACAAUAUAUAAUUAGCUUAUUCCAUGCCCUCAUUAAAAUCUCCAUUUCGAUACGCAGAAUGCUGUCUACAGCAGAGAGAAAUUAAGUGUUAACAGCAAAGUAAUUGGUUUUAUUAGCGGUGAUGGCAUAAAGUUAAACCAAAAGAUACCUAAGCAGAUUCUAGAGAACGCACAAAUCGCAACUGUUUGAUCAAUAAAGCCAUAUACCAACUAUCUUGCACAGAUGAGAAAAUAUAUAUUUCGUUUAUAACUUUUCUUUAAUUGCAAAUUAAAUAAGUGAUUUAAACUAUUUAUUUAUAGUUAUAAAAAUCGACAAUAUUUCUAUAAGGUGAUGAGUUUCAGCACUAGUAGAAAAUUUUGUUCCCAAAAAUUAAGCAUGGAACUGAAAUAAGCCCAGGAAACUAUUUGUCAAGUGUACAGAAAAUACUUUGAAAGGAGAAUAAUGUCUAAAUGCUGGAAUUUGCAUAUGAAUUGUAUAUACAAUUGUAUAAAAAUUGCGCUUUGCAAAUAAAACAUCAAAUUUUAGAAUUUAAGAAGCAAAUACCUUCACCGUUUCUUUUGGAAUGUACUGAAGAUAAAUCUGUCUGUAAUAGUAUAUUAUGAAGUUACUCCUAAUUUCGUUAGUACUAAUGAAAUUAAAACGUAUGAUCGAUUUUUUUUACUGAAAGUAGAAAAUGUCUGUGUUUGGUAAUAAUUACGAGCACAUUAUAUUGUGUAUGUGUAUAUAAACAUGAUGCAUAAUUUGCUAAAAUAUUCAAGAAUGAGUAACCUGUAGCAUUAGCUGUUGAUUCUUGUUAAUUUAUGUGAUCGGUUUCUUUUCAAGGAAAACUGUGCAUGUCUGGUCUUUCCAAUCUUUCAACUUAAUUUAUUUUGUACUAUACACUGUGUGUUACUACAUGAAUUUAUGUACAUAAAACAUUUAAGACAAAUGAUUAGAAUAAAACAAUAAAAACCA